GUGUUUUCCGCCAAAAAACACAAAAAUUGUCUUUUGUUAUCAAAAUGUUUUUUUCUUCUCAAAACCGUAGUUUCUCACCAAAACUGAAAAAUCUGAGUUUUUCUAUCAUUAAAAAAUAUUCUCACAAACAAAAAAAAUUCCCGCCAAAAUUACAAAGCCACAAAACUGCACAUUAUCACCAAAAUUAUAUAUUUAAAUGGGUUCAAUAUGUUAAAUGAGACUGUGUAUGUUUAAAUGGGUUUGAAAUAUAUACGGGGUUAAAUGAGUUUAUACUUAAAUGGAGUGGGUUUUAAUGGGGUGGGUUUACCCAUUUUAACAUCCCUAGAGAGAUGGGAAGAACAUUGUUGGUUGUUUAAAAAUUCACAUAUAAUAUAUAGAAAAUGAAUAAUGAUAGUCAAAACAUAUUUUGUCCCCUCGAUCUUCGUCUUCCUUCACCCCAUUUAGCUUCUCUCAGUCUUCAUUGCUUCAAUGGGAAAAGGAAAGGAAUCUGGAUCGGGUUCCAGAAAAGGUAAGGAAUCGGGAUCGGGUUCAAGAAAAGGAAAGGAACCUGAGGCGGAUUCUAAAAUUGCUUAAUAUUUUAGAGCAAAAAAAAUUGCUUAAUAUUUGAGAGCAAAAAAAAUUGCUUUACAAUUAUUAUAAAAAAAAAUAUUAUGUCCUCACGAUGAAAUUGUAUCACCAAGGGACGAUUUGACUGAUCUUGAGGAACAUAUGCAUGAGAUCUAAUAUUAUCAGAAACGUUAGUAGCU